AUUGAACGCUGGCGGAAUGCUUUACACAUGCAAGUCGAACGGCAGCACGGACUUCGGUCUGGUGGCGAGUGGCGAACGGGUGAGUAAUGUAUCGGAACGUGCCCAGUCGUGGGGGAUAACGUAGUGAAAAUUACGCUAAUACCGCAUACGAUCUAGGGAUGAAAGCGGGGGAUCGCAAGACCUCGCGCGUUUGGAGCGGCAGAUAUCAGAUUAGGUAGUUGGUGGGGCAAAGGCCCACCAAGCCAACGAUCUGUAGCUGGUCUGAGAGGACGACCAGCCACACUGGAACUGAGACACGGUCCAGACUCCUACGGGAGGCAGCAGUGGGGAAUUUUGGACAAUGGGCGAAAGCCUGAUCCAGCCAUUCCGCGUGCAGGAUGAAGGCCCUCGGGUUGUAAACUGCUUUUGUACAGAACGAAAAGGUUUCUACUAAUACUAGGAGCUCAUGACGGUACUGUAAGAAUAAGCACCGGCUAACUACGUGCCAGCCGCCGCCGUAA
rnacentral:rRNA from 1 species